rnacentral:rRNA from 1 species
UACGGGGGGUGCAAGCGUUAUUCGGAAUCAUUGGGCGUAAAGAGCACGUAGGCGGCUUGGUAAGUCAGAUGUGAAAGCCCGGGGCUUAACCCCGGAAGUGCAUUUGAUACUGUCAAGCUUGAGUAUGGGAGAGGGAAGUGGAAUUCCUGGUGUAGAGGUGAAAUUCGUAGAUAUCAGGAGGAACACCGGUGGCGAAGGCGACUUCCUGGACCAAUACUGACGCUGAGGUGCGAAGGCGUGGGUAGCAAACAGG